rnacentral:rRNA from 1 species
UACAGAGGUCUCAAGCGUUGUUCGGAUUCAUUGGGCGUAAAGGGUGCGUAGGCGGCGCGGUAAGUCGGGUGUGAAAUCUCGGAGCUUAACUCCGAAACUGCAUUCGAUACUGCCGUGCUUGAGGACUGGAGAGGAGACUGGAAUUUACGGUGUAGCUGGUGAAAUGCGUAGAUAUCGUAAGGAAGACCAGUGGCGAAGGCGGGGUCUCUGGGACCAUAACUGACGCUGAGGGGCGAAAGCGUGGGGAGCGAACAGG